rnacentral:rRNA from 1 species
UACGUAGGGUCCGAGCGUUGUCCGGAGUUACUGGGCGUAAAGGGCGUGUAGGUGGUUGCGUAAGUCUGGCGUGAAAUUUUUCGGCUUAACCGGGAAAGGUCGUCGGAUACUGCGUAGCUAGAGGACGGUAGAGGCGUGUGGAAUUCCGGGUGUAGUGGUGAAAUGCGUAGAGAUCCGGAGGAACACCAGUGGCGAAGGCGACACGCUGGGCCGUACCUGACACUGAUGCGCGACAGCAUGGGGAGCAAACAGG